rnacentral:lncRNA from 1 species
GUGUUCUUGAAGAAGGCGACUUGCUCAUGGAGGAUUCGACCCGGUUCCUGGUGGGCGACUCUGAGAUGUCUAGUGACUCAAUCCCCUGGGUCUAGGGGAGGAAGAUGCUUGUGCUUCUGGAAAUUGGCGAUUUUUUUCUUCCAAAUCAGGGAAGGCCUAGAAAUCAUACAACUCCAAGUAGGACUAACUCAAAGUGGUGGGUCAGAAAAAAAUGCUUCCAAGGAGUGUGAAAGCAUGCUGGUGGCCAUGUUCAGAACGGCCAAGAAAGAAAAGAUCAGACGGUCUCAAGAGGUGAGUAAUAUAGAAGAACACUUCUCUGGGUUAAGACUUGGGCUUUUGUUCUUCAAGAAUCAAGCCUGACUACUUUGCCUGUUAGAAACCUCCUGACCAUAAUUCUAAUACAUAGUGUCAGGGGAACAAAAACUUCCCCCUUAAUAUUUCUUUAUUCUUAGGUGGGGGCGGAUUAUGAAGUUCCACUUGAAGGUGAAGGAAUAGGACCCCCCCACACACACAUUCCUUCUAAAUGUUAAACAUGAAGUUACCGUCUGGCCCAGUAAUUCCAUUGCUAGGUGUCUACCCAAGCAGAAUUGAACCAUACAACCAGAUAAAAAAUAUGUGAAUAUUCAUAGCAGCAUGAUGUAUAAUAUAGCUAAAAAGUGGAAACAACCCAAAUGUCCAUAAACUGGCACAUGGAUAAGAUACUGUACAUCCAGACAGUGGGACAUGAUUCAGCAGUAGAGAGGACUUCCAGCUACAGCUUGAAACCGUGUUGGUGAACCAAGUCAUUCAGAAGAGACCACAUCUCCUAUGACUCCAUUUUUAUGAAAUGUGUAGAGCAGUCAGAUUUAUGGACGGGAAGUAGAUUAAUGGUUGC